rnacentral:rRNA from 1 species
GAUGAACGCUGACAGAAUGCUUAACACAUGCAAGUCUUUGGCGAAGCUGUGCUUGCACAGCCUAGCCAAGGCGGACGGGUGAGUAACGCGUAAGGAACUUGCCCUGCAGUCAGGGAUAACAGACGGAAACGACUGAUAAGACCUGGUAAAGUCAGGCGGACUCAUGUCCAGCCUGAUGAAAAGAGAUGCUGCAGGAGAGCCUUGCGUCCUGUUAGCUUGUUGGUGGGGUAACGGCCCACCAAGGCGAUGAUAGGUAGCCGGCCUGAGAGGGUGGACGGCCACAAGGGGACUGAGAUACGGCCCUUACUCCUACGGGAGGCAGCAGUGGGGAAUAUUGGACAAUGGGGGCAACCCUGAUCCAGCAAUUCUGUGUGCACGAUGAAGGUUUUCGGAUUGUAAAGUGCUUUCAGCAGGGAAGAAAAAAAUGACGGUACCUGCAGAAGAAGCGACGGCUAAAUACGUG